AAAACAUCGCCUCCUGCAACACAACCAAGUAUAAGAGGUCCAGCCUGCCCAGUGACCAAAAGUUCAACGGCCGCGGUAUUUUGACCGUGCAAAGGUAGCGCAAUCACUUGUCUUUUAAAUAAAGACCGGUAUGAAUGGCUAAACGAGGGCUUAACUGUCUCCCAUUUCAGGUCAGUAAAAUUGAUCUACCCGUGCAGAAGCGGGCAUAAAAAUACAAGACGAGAAGACCCUUUGGAGCUUAAGGUAAAAAUCAAUCAUGUCAAGAAACUACUAAAUAAGUUUACAAACCUUAUGAUAUAUGAAACCUUUACCUUCGGUUGGGGCGACCAUGGAGAAAAAAAUAUCCUCCAAGUGGAAUGGGUUAAAAUCCCAAAACUAAGAGAGACAUCUCUAAGAAGCAGAAUAUCUGACCAUUAAUGAUCCAGCCUACACAUGGCUGACCAACGAACCAAGUUACCCCAGGGAUAACAGCGCAAUCCUCUCCCAGAGCCCAUAUCGACGAGAGGGUUUACGACCUCGAUGUUGGAUCAGGACAUCCUAAUGGUGCAGCCGCUACUAAGGGUUCGUUUGUUCAACGAUUAAAGUCCUACGUGA
rnacentral:rRNA from 1 species